UAAGUGUGGAGAGAAACGUCUUUGUAACUCAUCAUAUGGAAAUCGUGAGAGAAGCCACUAGUUGUCUCUAUGAACUGUGG
rnacentral:rRNA from 1 species